GAAGUUUUAGUUAAUAGUAUAACAUAGGAAUGUCAUCCCUAAAUUACCUUAUAGGUAAACUUCU
rnacentral:tRNA from 1 species